GCAGUACGCUUGCUGCAACACCUAGUUCUGCGCUGUUUGAGUCUUAAUGUGUCUGGUAGGGCGGGGCAUAUCCCCGGGGUUCACGAUGUAUUGGCCGAAGCUCUCUCUCAUUCACAAUGUGAUGUACUUCAGGCAGUGGCUCUGCAGGCCUAAUUGGAGGGCAUCUCGUGCCCGGUGGAGAUGUGGUCACUUGGUUCGGCGGACUGGUCCCGCUACAGUGUGGUGUGGAGUGUCGGGGAUGGGUAGGAGUGUUCCCUCUGGGAUUUCCAGGAUUCAUCCACUCGCUUACAGGGUUUGGAAGUCUGCGGGGUUGUCCCCCACCGCAAUUUCUUAGCGCUUUGCCGGGCUUAGGUUCCUGUUCAAGUUCUGGCCGUCUCAGCGGGCCGUACUGUUGUCUUUGGGAAGGGUAAGUGGGUCCGAUCCGGGUUCUGGCAUUUGUCCCGUUUUAUCCUUCGGAGAGUGCUGUUCCUUCUACCCGGCGUCUCAGGUUCCCCCCCCCCCCUUUAGGUUUGCGAGGACUGAAGCUUUCUCUCCCACUUCCAACUCGUUAGGGUGUUCCGCUUGGGGCUUGAAUUCCUGGAUAUUGAUGGCAGGGAGUUCAGGGGGCAUUCAUCCAUGUUGG